rnacentral:snRNA from 1 species
GCACAUCUGUUAAAAGAUAA